GCGGGUGUGGGGUGCGUCUCGUGCGGGGUCGCUCGCGCCGCCGCCUCACGGCAGCGGGCGGGAAUCUCCAGGAGAGGCGUGAGGGGACUGAGGGGUGAAGGGUGAGGACUGAGGGUUGAGGGGGCCGAGGGCGGAAGGCUGAGUCCCUCCGCCACUGAGGGCACUGCGUUAGACCCGCGGGGUGGGUCGCGGGAGGCGCCGGCCCCCGCCGGCACCGGGGAAAGAAAGGGUUGAAGGCCGGCGGCGUUUGGCCACCGCGGUACAGCCACGUCGUGCAGCGCCCGCAGGGCAGCUGCUGAGGGAGUGACACGUCUGCGCAGGGCUCUGAGGCAGCGGCGCUGCCCACUCGGGUGGCGCGGGGCCGGUCUUGGAAGGGAGAGAAGCCUUUGGAGGUGGCGCUGGGGGGCUGCACUUCGCUACUUAGAGUAAAUGCACACUUUCAUUUUCUGCUGUUAGAAAGCGGGGUGAUUAGUAACAGAAGGCUGAUCUAGUAGGAUUACCCCUCGUGCAAUGAAAUGUAGCAGUGACAGCACAUAGGUGGCUCUCGUAUGCCUUCUUAAGUACAACCCAUGCUCGGUAGUGAGUUUGCUCAGUUAUGUGAGGAGAAAGACUUCUUAAAGGUUUUAUUAUUUUCACGGAGAGAGAGGGUUUGUGUCAUCUCAAUAGGAUGACACCUAGAACACAAAGGCCGGGGCAGAAUGUAGCCCUUCUGUGCCUUUCACUUUGUGUUCCCAAAGCAGCACUGACCGUCUCAUGGGAUGAUUCGGAAGAGCCACUCUAUGAAUAUGUAACUGGGCCCAGGGAAUAUAAGCCUGGCUCAGCAACUCUCCCUGUGGCUGGAAUGUGGUACAAGAAGUACUUCGGACUUGAGAAACGCUGUUACUCCAUGUAACUGCUUGGUGCUGAAGCAUCCCUGCCUUAUACCAGCCUUAGGAGUAAUUCACAAUCAUAUAACUCGCUUACAAAAGUUGGAAAACAAAUGUUUUCACCAGAAGACUGGGAAGACAGUGCAAGAAACUCAACCCAGUGGAAAAUAACAUGAUACUUGGCAUCUACAUAAAGCCUUGGGUUUUCAACAUCCUGUGUAAUGAUUAGGUGUUUAAUCUGCCCUCUGAGCCAGUUCAGUAAUGACUACUUUUGUGAUGAAACAGGAUAAAGUUCUUCCCAGUUAAAGACCUGCAAUUAAACUACUACUGUUCUCCUUAUCCAAGCAGGCUCUAUUUAAUAUAUGUAUAAGUAAACACUAUUAAGAAAGUGCUUUUAUCUCAACAAGUCACAGCUUGAUUGUGGUUAACAAUAGUUUUUAUUACAGAAUCAUAACACAUUUGGAUUGUCUGUGCACAGCUAUGGUGCAGGUCAGAAAAAGAUUUCCUUCCCUCAUGAGUUUAAUUUAGAUUUUUCCACAUCAUCCUAAUGUGUUCUCUUAACUUCCUUUGUAUUUCAAAGAUGGGUUCAGAAAACACAAACAAAUAGUAAGAGAUGUGAAAUACUUUUACCUGUCUUCCUACUAAGAUCUUAUCUCUGAAUUCAUACAGACUGGCUAAAUCAUUCUUCAUGUUUCUUUGAGAACAUGUGGUUUUCCACUGCAUGAAUGUGGUGGUGUGCCAAAUCGUGCUAAAUCCUGGCAGGAAUAAUUUCAGAAAUCAUGCACCUCUAAGCAUUCUAAGCUUCCUUUUUCUGUUCUGGAUCCUUUCUUAAGAGAAUAUACUGGUACUUGAGCUUGGCUGGGACAUCUUGACUUAGUUCUGUGAGCCUUGGAUCUAGUACAGCAAAAUCGUGGCUAUUUUUGAUCCUCACAUAAGAGCUGGAAACCAAGAGGAGCUCCAGGAACCUGCCCUAAGGAAAUUAAAUCAUUUAAAAGACCAAGUUUAGAAGAAUUGUACUUGAAAGAAUUUAAAUACUAGAAAAUAGACAAAUAUAUUAGAAACAGUGUAAUACCAAUACUAAGUAUACCUGGAUUAGACCAUUUCCAAACCUGUCAUCCUGAUUUGGGGUAGACAAGUUUCAACUUCAGUCAAAUUUUGUUACUGUGCUGUUAGCUUCACCUGCCAAAGAAAUACCAGAAAACAGUUUCUCCAUUAUGACCACUUCAGUGUUUCUUCCUCACCUGCCUCUGGUUUGCCAAGACAAAAGUCACACAACUGAUAAAGGGUCUCCAGAAGUCUCUUAGCAUUAUUGUGCUGCUUCUGCUGUUCUUUGUGUGCACUUCUUAGUGGUUCUUUAGGUAUGAACAAGCCUUAUUUUGAUCUAGCCAGCUGUCGUAGAUCCUGAUCCAUGAUUGGGAAGCCCACAUAUAGCUAAUGUACGUAAUUGUGAGUGUCAGUGGAGUAAUUACAGCAAUAUGAUUAAAGGAGUGAAAGGAAAAUCAGACACUGUGGGUUACCUGUGGGGAAAAAUAUCUCAGAAUUUUCCAAAUUCUGAAAUCAAUGCACACCUCAUUCAUAUGAAUUUGAUCUGAAGAGCAAAAAAAGUAGUAAUAAUGUUUACAUAUCACAGUUUCCCACAAAGAGCUUGGUAAACCCUGGAAAAACAUAUAUGAAAGAACAUUACCAAGUUUCUAAUUACAGAUGUUAUGGUUUUGGUUGUUCUUGAGUAAUUAUUUAAUUUUAUAGGGUUUUUUUACCUGAGAAAAUUUGAAGAAUACCUUGAAAAUUAAUAGCUCAUCACUAUAGUCAUAUGCAAUUUCAUCUUGUUCUGCUUCUUCAUCUUUUGGAUAACUUUUCCAUUAGGAGGUGAAUGCCUCAACUCAGAGUUAUUAUUCACUUUUUCUUUUCAAACAUUGCUUAUUGCAGGCUCUGGGAAGAAGACAACUCAGGGAAAAGCACAACGAGAGCACAGCUUUACAAGCAGAAAUCUAACUCUGACACAAGCCAGUCUCAUGGCUGAGGCUUAUUUUCUAUGGAUUUUGAAGCUGAAGAAACAUCUCUUAUCACACAAGGACAGGCUACAUUCAGUAUAGAUUGGGAGGUGGACUGUGUGUCAAGGAAUGUAGGGAUUUCUGAGUAAAUUUGAAAUAACAGAACAGUCAAUCAGCUCCAUUGAUUUGGGGUAUUUUUAAACCCAGCUUAAUGUAUGGGAUGCACUGACGAUUUUGUUUUAAGCUGAUGCAGCUUGGAAAUGCUUACUGAUGAAAUCAGUGCAGUGCUUGAUGUCUUAUUUCAAAAUAGUAUCUGCCUGUAUUCCUUUACACAUAUUUAUUUUAAAUGCUACAAUUUUUUUUUAUUGUCACGUCACAGGGUCUUUUAAUGAAGGGCUGCUGAAUUAUUGGGAAAUUUCAUUCAGAAUUCAAAAUAUAGUAUGAACAGUCAUCUUGCAAAAUUCACGUUGACCCAGUGUGCUAGUUUUGGCUAGGAUAGAGUUAAUAUUCACAGUGGCUGGUAUGGGGCUCAAUUUUUCAUUGGUACAAAGUGUACUGUUUUUUCUUAGUCUUUAGAAACAGUGUGAUGUCUGAAGUGCUUGGUCAUAAUGUCAUAGAAGUAGAUUCAGCUCGUCUCUAACAUAACAGUGGGAUUUUGUUCAUCCCUCAUAAAGUUCUCUGUCUAAGGAGGUGUUUCACAGAGAAGUCUCUAGUCCACACUAGGACCAGCAGGAGCCUCUGAGCAUCUGUCAAGCACUGACUUGUAUGCUAGAGAUACAUCUUCAAAACCCAUAUCCCAAUGCAUUUGCACAGGCAGAUUUUUAACAAAACAGCUUGUUUGGGAUAUUUUCAGCUGUAUGUGUGUGGCUCUGUUUUCAAUGGUGACUUGAGAACUACAGUAAGUAGACUGUAGUGAAACAGCAGUGCAAGUAUCCAGGCAGGCCUUUGGGCAUAAUGAUUUGAAGUCCUUAAACCAACUGCAAAUAAUUUUAGUAUUUCCAACCCAUUAUUCCAACUCAGUCCUCAACCAUACAGGUACGCCCUUUUGCAUACUGGGCAGAGUUGUACUGUGUGUAUUUUACUACAACACUGGCAAAACAAGCACUUGAGUAACCAGAUUAUAUUUAUCUGUGCAGUUAUUAUAGUUAAAUCCCAUUAAGUCAGUGAGAGCUUUUCCAGUGGUUUUAAUUUCACAAAUUUAAUAAUAGCAGUAACCUUGUAUUGGUUUUUAAAAAAGCUAGGUUUGUGUGUUCGCUUCCCCCGUAGGAAACAUCACUAACAUAGACAGUUUUAGUAUUGAAACAAUAUUGAUUUAGCCCAAUUUCAGUUGAUGCUUUUUUUUUUUCAUUUAAACUCCCUUGGGAUUAUCUUUAUGAAAUGCUGUUGUGUUUACAUGUACAUAUUGUUUUGUAACAUGAUAUCACUUAUGUAAAAAUUCCUGUGGUAUUUUCCUUGGUUCACCACAGUCAUCAUCCUCUAGGUUGUCCACAGGUGUCUGCCUCAGCAGCUGUUCUCACUGUGUUAGUGUUGAUAUACAGUUGUCAACUGCAUUAACUGUACAUUAAAGAUCAGAAAGAGAAGUUGGUCACAGGUCCAAGUUCCUGUAUCUUUUUGUCCUGCUUACCUGCCUUCCAUCUCAGUUCCAUUAAGUCUAUGAGGUAUUUUUUAUUCCCUUUAGUCUUAAAUCACAAUAUUUUUAUGGACUGUUCCGGACUACUGUUCAGAGAGACAGCCAACAAAUCCCUGUUUUGACAAGCCAGUGAUUCAUAGUAGCUGACCAGAGGAGUAGAUCUGCUUCUGGGUUUGAUAACAUGCCCCAGUUUUUGGGUUCAUUUCAAAAAUGGCCACUAGCUAUCCUAGGAGAUUUAAGCAACAAAUUCACAGAUGUCCCCUGCAGGAUCAAAGUGAAGGAACCAAUGUUUCAAGCCAAUAUACAGUUUUUAGCCUUAUCUGUUACACUGUUGGCUUUUCCUAGAGAGAUUGGCUUCUGUAAAGGUCAAAACCCAUUUAGGCAGCUUACGCAGAAGUUUAUUACCGCUCUUCCAUCCCAAAGUCCACCUGAUUAUUGAGGGGGAGAAUGGUAAAUACACAGCCAAGUGUAAAUGUGUCAUAGUAGUGACCUAUAUAUUUUAAAUAGGCACCAUUCAUACCAUUAGAUGCCUUUUCUUUAGUGUGAUGUCAUAAUCUGUAGAACUGCAUCAUUCACACAUAGCGGGAUACAGAUUGAGAUAGAGUUGUCGUGACUUGGAUUACUGAUUUUAGACCUCUUCAUUGGACAAAGUUUGUCAGGAUUCAAUGUCACCAAAGAUCAGUCUGUCCUCGUAAGUCGUAGUCUUUUUUUUUUUAUGGAGGGGGGUGUAUGAAAACUGUACACAUGCAGCUCCUGUUCUUUGGCAAGCAAGGAGUAAAUUGCUGAAGUCCUCUGUGGCAAAGUCCAUGUUUUUUUAGAUUUUGCCCUGUGUUUCUAUUUUUGAUGAGAAAAGAGGAGGAAGUUGCAGAAUACAGCCAGAUUAUGUUUAUCAGGUAGCAACAUAUGCAUCAGCAACACAUCAGUAGCCUUUGCCACUUUCUAAUAAAUAAUACUUACAGACUUAUUCCACAAGCAUGAUUUUGGUUAAUUUGUUUAAUGAGGUGAAUUUUAAUGUAUCUCUCCUGUUAUUAACACAUUCACCAAUACGUGGUAUUGUCACCAGAGUCCACAAAAAUCUUUUCAUUGGCUGAAGAAAUUCCUCUACUGGAACAGAGCACCUUUUUGUUGCUUAGACAGACAGCAUAGUCAUUGUGUUAAAAUUUGUAAACUAGGGCCUUUAUCAGAAGGCAGCUAGACAACAUUCUUCUUUGGAAUCUCAGAUUAAUGCGUUCACUUUCUCUAGUUUUGCGGCUACUCGGAGGAUGGAAGGGCCAGUUAGGAGGCUGAGCAAAGCCAUUGCUACAGAUAGCAAAGAAAUGCAUCUCACUCCCAAUGCCAUUGCUGUGAAGAUGCAGAAGAGGAACACCAAAUUCCAAGACUUGCUGCAGACAUGGAUGCUCCCAGAAGUGUGAGUCAGCUCAAAACAACUCCUAAGGUAAGUUUACAGGAUCCAGACAUUGUCAGAAUACUCACUUUCAGCCUCUCAAGUAAAGGUGCAAAAUGAAGUAUGCCACAAAUUAGUGUAAACUGUUGGUAGUGUAAAAGGAAGUGGUGUCUUGCCUUCCGAAUGCAUGUUCUGCUUUAGCAGUGGCUAAGAACAAUAGCUGAUUUUUCUCUGCAGCUCCCACACUGUCUGGGACUUGCUUCUAAAAUAAUGUCAGGAAAAGUUAAAUGAAGUUUACCCAAGUAUGUUAACAACUUCUACCCAUUGCAAGCGAUGGUCACUGGUUCUGAAUAAGGUUCCUGUUUGUCUAGCCUCUUACCAGUGCCUGACACUGGUAUAUAGUGGUUUUGGCGUAGGCUUGACAAAACUCUCAAGGCAUUCUGAUUGGAGUAAUAUUUCUUCUGGUUAAUGCAGGUGUUAAAACUUUUGGGAGGACGAAUUCUGGGCCAACUUUUUUUAGGGGAGUACUCCCUAUGCUAGAUUAUGUAGACAAGCCUUAUAUGAGAAAAGACUUUUGGGAGUAAUCUAGAUCCUGUGAUGAGAGGCAUGUAAUUGUUGUGCAUGUAAUAGGUACUUUCUAAUUCACGUGAAAAAGCAGCUGUAAACCUCUUAAGCAGACAGGUUGAAUUGUUUGUGAAGUACUCUGGAACAGGUGAACACAAUCUUUUAUAUUUUACAGGGAAUAUUUUCAUGAAGGGUAAUACUAACUAAUUCUCUCAUUCCAAUUCAUCUUUUAUUUAUGUCUUAUAAAGAUGCAAACCUUUAUUCUCAACUGCCAGAAGAGAAAGCACCAAACAAAACAAAAUGCUGUGUAAGCAAAACACUCCAGUGCCUGUGUUUCAGUCCCUCCCCUCAGAAGGGACGGAUAUAAAGAUCACCAAACUCAUGGUAGAUAAUUACUCAGGUGUCAGGAGGGGCUACACUGAGAUGGCAGAGCUGCUCAGUCACAUGAUUACUCCUGUAUCAUAUGAGCAGGAUCAUGCCUGCCAUGCUAGACAGCACUGGCAAGGAGAGGGAGGUGGAGUGGGAAGGAGUUGAAGUAUUUUAAAGCUUGCCCUCCUGUUAAAUACACACCUUCCUCAGCACAUUCCUGUCAAGUUUUUAGAUGCCGUAUCAACAAGUGGGGCAAAUCUAGACACUGUGCAGAUCUUUGGUUAUUAAAACCGUUUUGCAAAUAAGUAAAUAAUACUAAUAAAUCAAAAUAGGAGCCCUUGACCUUUGUUUUGCACUCACCUAGCAGGCCUGCAUAUGACUAAAUAAAACACAAGACACUGGAAAACCAGGCUUAGUGUGUGCAUGUCCAUAUGUUAUCUCUGUACCCCUGUCUCCUCCUUUUCAUUCUGAAUAAUGAUCAGGACUAGGCUGAAACUGAAUGAGAAAUCCAUGUUCCAAAGAAGCAAUACGAUAUUUUAGUUUAAAAAUCAGUUUGUUAGAAUUGAAAGCUGGGCGGAUGUUAGACAGAAACAGCCUGGAGAGAGUCAGAAAGAGAGGUUGAAUUUAACAGAAGUAAGUUUUUGGCAAGUUUCCUGUUAAAAUCUAUGGCCAAUGCAAUCUUGCAGAAGUAAUUUUAGAGCUGAAACUUUUCCUCCAAUGGUAACAGCAACCAUGUAUUUCUAGUGAUUUGUGCUGAAUAGGGAUUGAACUAUGCAGACAGACCAAGGUGCAUAUGAGAGUUCAGACACAGCAUAAAGCCUAUGCAGGACUAUGAGCUGUUGAAAAUCCGAGUAGCCUGUUUUCUCUAUUCCAGUGCUGUUAGUGGGUGCAAAGAGGUGAAAAGUAGCUCAAAAAUAUCCGCGUUACACAUGAGUUUGUCUCCAGUGAUGCAGAUCCACUGCCAGUUCAACAUCUAUUUUACAGAGGGAUGUUACCGCCUCUUUUACCUUGCAUGAGUUCAUUUCUGUACAGGCCAUAUAGGUGCAAAAUCAUGCACACUAGUGUUAUGAAAGAGACAUUAGUACUCUCUGUAGAUCAUGUUUGUCCCUACUUGAAGAACCAUUAUAGUACAAUAGACUCAUUCGACACAAGUGUUUGUCAGGGAGAUUUCAAACAAACCUGUACUCUUUAUUUUUGCCCAUCAUAAAGUAAUUAAAAUUCAAUUAAUAUGUAGAAAAAUGAAGUGAUAUCAGGCUGUGAUUCUACAUUAAAUCAUAUAGAAUCUGUGUAUGCUGGAUUUCCUGGCAGUGAAAAUUUGAUCUGUUAUUGGUGUGAGCACGACUGCAUUUUUACCAAAUCACUCAGAGCAUAUGUUACAGUGUUUGUAUUCAGGGUUUGUGCCAGCUUUCUGUCAGUUGAGCAGAAUAAAUUAUGCCCAAACCAGCACAGAGUUAGAGUGGUACAAACAGAAAAGAUCUCAUCUGAUAGGACCUCUCCUGGGACAAAAUUAUUUCUUCAAGCUAUUUACUACCACAUGGAAUGAUAACCUACCACCCUAAUAAGCUAUAAACCCUGCAUAGUCCUUAGACAAAUCUGUUUCAAGUCAGAGCAUGUCUAUAUCUGAUUAGCUGUAAAUAGACUGACAAUUUUUUCCUCAGAAGAAAAGAAGGGGAGAGACACAAAUUCAAAUUAUAUUUUUCACCUUAGGCAAGUACAGAAAUGUUCAAGAAUAUGAUUUGUGUAGAAAUCUCAAGUGUACUCACGUGUAAAUGUAAUUAAUGAGAUGGGAAAAAAUGAGUCGUAAUGAUAAAUAAAAACAUAAUUCUUGAAAUUGCUGGGUUAGGUUUGAGCCCAUAUUGUGAAAGAAAAAGGAUUUGAUUUUGUGCUUCCCACCAUGUUUCUUCUUUUAAGUAUACAGCUGCUGUGUCGUGUUAUGGAUCUGUGACGUUUCAUUCUGAAGCUGAAUUGUCAUGACAGAGGUGAAGAUUGUAAACCAGAACACUGCAGUGUAAACCCAGUGAUUUUUGAUAUUUCCUAAGUCAAAGGGCUGAAUCCAUCAGUAAGUGUAUGCAGGUUUUACUGUCUUUGAUAUAAAAUCAGCUGGGGUCAUGUACAAUUUUUGUUGGGAUUUUGUUAAUUUCCAUUGAAAUUCCAUUAGAGUUUAUGAACUUACUUUUGUCACUGCAGCAUUGUCUGUCUUUGGCCAGGGGUUGUAAGUGACCGCAAUGCAACUUUCCAUGGCAGUACUGCUUAACAUUGUGCAGGCCACCCUGGCUAUUUGUUUCCACCUGCACCUGUACUGCAGUCUUUACUAGGCUGGCACAGUAAUUUUUUUGGGUGCAUGCUAGAGUAGCCUAUGGAACUGAUUUAACUGAAGAAUAGCAGGGAUUAUGAAAGCUGGCAUUGCCACUGAGUUUUUUUCCCUCCAAACUGCAUAGUGUUAUGAAUACAAAUGGAGCUGGGAAUUUGGAGCAGACCUGGCAAAAGGGUAUGAUUGUGGUUUGGAAUAAACUGAAAGAAGCAUGAUUCUUCUCAAGGUAAGAGCAUACUUGUACCUCCAUACCAGGAAAUAAGUUAAAGUAGAAAAGGGUAUCCUGAAGUAGAUGCAGUCAUAUGAACACAAGAAUUCUUUUUAAAAGUAUAGCACAUACUGGGGUCUGUAAAUCAGCUUUGUUAUGGUAUGACUACAUCUAUACCACUGGUGCUGGUAUUAACAAAGUUAGUAAAAAUGUUCUCAUAACUGACAGAGUGAUGCUAAUAAAACUUUUACAUGUACAAGACCCCUAAAAAUUGGAAUAAUCAAUAAAUAACAUACACAACUAGUGUUAACAUUGCACACCCCAAAUUCAGCAAGAAUUCCUAUUAUGCAAGUCUGAGUUUGUAGAGCUGUAAUUCUACUAAACUAGCACUGUGGGAGAAUGCAGAAGUUACUUUUUAGAAGUUGAAGUGCCAUUUUAUUUCUCUUGAUACAUUUUGGGGAACUUUCCAAAACUUUCAGUCUUGGCACAGCUGAAGCAUCUUUAACAUUCUUCUACUACUGUUUUUUCUACCACUAUCACCUUUUAAAAGCUUAUGUUUUUAGCAUUCUUCUACCACUAUCACUCUUAAAAGGUUAUGUGUGUUCUCCAAAUGGGACCAGAUUGUACUGAAAGACUGUUAUUUUUAAUACAGUUUCCUGUAGAGGAAUAACCCGAACUCCUGGCAACGCACCACUAUUCAAUUCAUACAAAGCACUCACAUCAUUUACUCCAGAGACAGGCUUGGGCUCACAACCAUUCCGAUGUAAUCUCUACUAGCAGUGCUAUUUUAACUGCAAUCACAUUACAUUAUAUGCAAGUACUAAAGGUAUACAAGAAGAUAACUUAAACCAUCCUUUGGGGUUGAAUUUUGCAAAAAGUGAUGCUUCAUAAAAGCUCAUCAACAUAAACUACUUCCAAGCGAAAGUUUGUUAAAUAUACUAAAUUAAGGUCUGAUGAUACAUAGCAAUUUGCUACAUAUGGGGAUACUUAAAGCAAAAUGUGUUUUAUGUAUUUGACUUCUACCUGCAAGAGAAACAUCUGCCGUCCAGUGUGUGAUUCCAGUGCACUUGGGAUGGAAUGAGUCCAGCUACCUGGCGGCAGACAUUAUAGAGGCACUUUCUUAGGCUGUUAUGAGUCUCAGAAACUCAGGACUGACCAAAAAUCCUAAAGCUAAGAAACUACUGAAGACUAUUCAUAUGGCUGCCCCACAUACUCCAAGGAGGGUCCAAUCUCAUUGAAUGAUAGGGCCUGAUAAUUUGUGGUAAACCAGGUGGGAAUGAGAGUCAUGUGAAACAAAAACAAAAACGAAGCAUGUGAUUUCUCCUGAUCAAGUGUCUUAUAAAAUAAUGGCAAAUUUUUAAUACCAUGCCCUAGGAGUCAGCAUUUUCCUAUAGCUCUCCUGUGUCCUUCCCAUAAAUGCUGUGCUGAGGUCCUAAGUGUUCUUACUCUUUGCAUGGAAAAGGCAAAAAAGUACAGGGAAGACUAGUAUUCAAACUUCUGAGGGCACUUGUGAAUUGAGCUGGGUCACAGGCCCUCAUGCAACAUCCCUUUAGAGCAAAAGAUGUGAAGAUAAUCAAAAAGAAAACUCGUGUGCUGGGCCUUUAUCAGAAAUCAAACUAAGGCAGGAUAUUUUAAAAAGACUGACAACUUACUUUUCUGGUUUGGACAUGGACAGUGUGGAAGGGAAUAGUUAGUGGGGUGUGAUUGAGGAAUAUACCAAGGGAUCUUUGGUAUGCAGAGACUUGACUUCUCAGGAAUGGAUCUAGUCCUGUGUUUCUCCGCCUUCCUGCUUCCCUUCCUCCCAACAUCCCUAUUGCUGCCUAACCUUCUGUCAAAGAAAUGCUCUGGCUGUAAAUUGCACUGUAGAAGAAAUUAUUAAAAACUCUUUCUCUUGCCAUUGUAA